GCCGGGGUGGCGGAACGGUAGACGCGGCGGACUUAAAAUCCGCUACCUUAACGGGUGUGUGGGUUCGACUCCCACCUCCGGCACCA
rnacentral:tRNA from 1 species